UACGGAGGAUGCAAGCGUUAUCCGGAUUUAUUGGGUUUAAAGGGUGCGCAGGUUGUUUGAUAAGUCAGUGGUGAAAGUCUGCCGCUUAACGGUAGGAUUGCCAUUGAUACUGUUGGACUUGAAUAUGGAUGAGGUAGGCGGAAUGUGUAGUGUAGCGGUGAAAUGCUUAGAUAUUACACAGAACACCGAUUGCGAAGGCAGCUUACUAAUCCAUGAUUGACGCUGUGGCACGAAAGCGUGGGGAUCAAACAGGA
rnacentral:rRNA from 1 species